UCUGCCUUACACUAAGGGAUAGCCCAGAGAAAUUUGGAUUAACACCUUAUAGUUUAUUUUUAUGGCAUCAUUUAAAUAAUAAAGUUUACGGUGUAAGAUGAGUAUGCGUCCCAUUAGUUUGUUGGUAAGGUAACGGCUUACCAAGACUACGAUGGGUAGGGGCCCUGAGAGGGGGAUCCCCCACACUGGUACUGAGACACGGACCAGACUCCUACGGGAGGCAGCAGUGAGGAAUAUUGGACAAUGGAGGAGACUCUGAUCCAGCCAUGCCGCGUGCAGGAAGACGGUCCUAUGGAUUGUAAACUGCUUUUAUACAGGAAGAAUAAGGACUACGUGUAGUCUGGUGACGGUACUGUAAGAAUAAGGACCGGCUAACUCCGUGCCAGCAGCCGCGGUAAUACGGAGGGUCCGAGCGUUAUCCGGAAUUAUUGGGUUUAAAGGGUCCGUAGGCGGGCUGUUAAGUCAGGGGUGAAAGUUUGCAGCUCAACUGUAGAAUUGCCUUUGAUACUGAUGGUCUUGAAUUAUUGUGAAGUGGUUAGAAUAUGUAGUGUAGCGGUGAAAUGCAUAGAUAUUACAUAGAAUACCGAUUGCGAAGGCAGAUCACUAACAAUUGAUUGACGCUGAUGGACGAAAGCGUGGGUAGCGAACAGGAUUAGAUACCCUGGUAGUCCACGCCGUAAACGAUGGAUACUAGCUGUUUGGAUUUCGAUCUGAGCGGCCAAGCGAAAGUGAUAAGUAUCCCACCUGGGGAGUACGUUCGCAAGAAUGAAACUCAAAGGAAUUGACGGGGGCCCGCACAAGCGGUGGAGCAUGUGGUUUAAUUCGAUGAUACGCGAGGAACCUUACCAGGGCUUAAAUGUAGAUUGACAGGUUUAGAGAUAGACUUUCCUUCGGGCAAUUUACAAGGUGCUGCAUGGUUGUCGUCAGCUCGUGCCGUGAGGUGUCAGGUUAAGUCCUAUAACGAGCGCAACCCCUGUUGUUAGUUACCAGCACAUUAUGGUGGGGACUCUAGCAAGACUGCCGGUGCAAACCGUGAGGAAGGUGGGGAUGACGUCAAAUCAUCACGGCCCUUACGUCCUGGGCCACACACGUGCUACAAUGGUAGGUACAGAGAGCAGCCACUUAGCGAUAAGGAGCGAAUCUAUAAAACCUAUCACAGUUCGGAUCGGAGUCUGCAACUCGACUCCGUGAAGCU
rnacentral:rRNA from 1 species